rnacentral:rRNA from 1 species
AACGAACGCUGGCGGCGUGCUUAACACAUGCAAGUCGAACGCGAAAGGGACUUCGGUCCUGAGUAAAGUGGCGCACGGGUGAGUAACGCGUAGAUAACCUGUCUUCAUGUCUGGAAUAAUACGCCGAAAGGGGUACUAAUACCGGAUAUUCUUGCUUUUCAUAAGUUAUGCGAGCAAAGGUGGCCUCUGCAUAUGCUACUGCAUGAAGAGGGGUCUGCGUACCAUUAGCUAGUAGGUGGGGUAAUGGCCUACCUAGGCGACGAUGGUUAGCGGGUCUGAGAGGAUGAUCCGCCACACUGGCACUGGAACACGGGCCAGACUCCUACGGGAGGCAGCAGUGAGGAAUAUUGCGCAAUGGGGGAAACCCUGACGCAGCGACGCCGCGUGAGUGAGGAAGGCCUUCGGGUCGUAAAGCUCUGUCAAGAGGAAAGAAGUGUACAAUGGCUAAUACCUGUUGUAUUUGACGGUACCUCUAAAGGAAGCACCGGCUAACUCCGUGCCAGCCGCGGC